CUCAUAUGAGAUAACAAGGGCUGAAGCCAGUUGGAUCUAAAGUGCCAAGUUAUUCGUUAUCAGGUGUUCCUGGACAGUUUUGAAACCGAGAUGUCUGAACGCCUCAAAUAAUCAGCAGUAAAGACAACAGAGAUAAAUUCUCUAAUACCAAGGUCAAUGCAUUUGACUGCUGUCCAGCCCCGGGUUGCCACCGAAAACUUUAUGCAUCUUGGACUGGAAGAUGGUGUGCUAGUAAGGAAGCUAGCUACCACAGCUUUUGCCACCACAUCUCAGUGUUGGGAGGGAAGUUCACUCACUGCACAACUCUACCAGCUGUACCUUUCCUCCUCAGCCAUGAUCCGU